AGCGAGUGUUGAACAUUAGUUAGUGGCGGACGGGUGAGUAACGCGUGGGCAACCUACCCAUAAGCGGGGGAUAACAGCUGGAAACGGCUGCUAAUACCGCAUAAGCUAGACAGGACACAUGAACUGUUUAGUAAAGAUGGCCUCUUAACAAAGCUAUCACUUAUGGAUGGGCCCGCGUCUGAUUAGCUAGUUGGUGGGAUAGCGGCCUACCAAGGCGACGAUCAGUAGCCGGCCUGAGAGGGUGGACGGCCACACUGGGACUGAGACACGGCCCAGACUCCUACGGGAGGCAGCAGUGGGGAAUAUUGCGCAAUAGGGGAAACCCUGACGCAGCGACGCCGCGUGAGCGAAGAAGGCCUUAGGGUUGUAAAGCUCUGUUGUAAGGGAAGAAGAGCCCGGGUGAAAACAUUGCCUGGGAGUGACGGUACCUUACUAGAAAGCCCCGGCUAACUAUGUGCCAGCAGCCGCGGUAAGACAUAGGGGGCGAGCGUUGUCCGGAAUUACUGGGCGUAAAGAGCACGUAGGCGGGUAAAUAAGUCAGAUGUGAAAGACCGCAGCUCAACUGCGGGGUUGCAUUUGAAACUGUAUAUCUUGAGGGCAGGAGAGGACAGUAGAAUUCCUGGUGUAGCGGUGAAAUGCGUAGAAAUCAGGAGGAAUACCAGUGGCGAAGGCGACUGUCUGGACUGACCCCGACGCUGAGGUGCGAAAGCGUGGGUAGCAAACAGAAUUAGAUACCCUGGUAGUCCACGCCGUAAACGAUGGAUACAAGGUGUAGGAGGUAUCGACCCCUUUUGGUCCGGCAGCAACCGCCAAUAAGUAUCCCCGCCUGGGGAGUACGGUCGCCAAGGCUGAAACUCAAAGGAAUGACGGGGGGCCCGCACAAGCGUUGGAGCAUGUGUUUAAUUCGAUGCAACGCGAAGAACUUACCAGGUCUUGACAUCUGUAGACCCCUGAUGAAAGUAGGGGGUGCCUUCGGGAGCUACGAGACAGGUGGUGCAUGGUGUUCGUCAGCUCGUGUCGUGAGAUGUUGGGUUAAGUCCCGCAACGAGCGCAACCCCUGCUAUUAGUUGCUAACAUUAAGGAUGAGCACUCUAAUGGGACCGCCUGUGACAAGCAGGAGGAAGGUGGGGAUGACGUCAAAUCAUCAUGCCCUUUAUGAUCUGGGCUACACACGUGCUACAAUGGAUGGUACAGAGGGCAGCGAAGCCGCAAGGUGAAGCGAAUCUCAAAAAGCCAUUCUCAGUUCGGAUUGCAGUCUGCAACUCGACUGCAUGAAGUCGGAAUCGCUAGUAAUCGCGAAUCAGCAUGUCGCGGUGAAUGCGUUCCCGGGCCUUGUACUCAGCGCCCGUCA
rnacentral:rRNA from 1 species